UAGGGAAUCUUCGGCAAUGGACGAAAGUCUGACCGAGCAACGCCGCGUGAGUGAAGAAGGUUUUCGGAUCGUAAAACUCUGUUGGUAGAGAAGAACGUUGGUGAGAGUGGAAAGCUCAUCAAGUGACGGUAACUACCCAGAAAGGGACGGCUAACUACGUGCCAGCAGCCGCGGUAAUACGUAGGUCCCGAGCGUUGUCCGGAUUUAUUGGGCGUAAAGCGAGCGCAGGUGGUUUAUUAAGUCUGGUGUAAAAGGCAGUGGCUCAACCAUUGUAUGCAUUGGAAACUGGUAGACUUGAGUGCAGGAGAGGAGAGUGGAAUUCCAUGUGUAGCGGUGAAAUGCGUAGAUAUAUGGAGGAACACCGGUGGCGAAAGCAGGCGUC
rnacentral:rRNA from 1 species